rnacentral:rRNA from 1 species
UACGUAGGGGGCAAGCGUUGUCCGGAAUCAUUGGGCGUAAAGCGCGCGUAGGCGGCCAUGUAAGUCCGAUGUGAAAGUCGAAGGCUCAACCUUCGAAAGCCGAUGGAUACUGCAGGGCUAGAGUCCGGAAGAGGCGAGUGGAAUUCCUGGUGUAGCGGUGGAAUGCGCAGAUAUCAGGAGGAACACCAAUAGCGAAGGCAGCUCGCUGGGACGGUACUGACGCUAAGGCGCGAAAGCGUGGGGAGCGAACAGG